rnacentral:rRNA from 1 species
CCCUUAGAUGUUCUGGGCCGCACGCGCGCUUCACUGAUGCAUUCAACGAGUCUAAAACCUGCUCUGAUAGGGGUGGGUAAUCUUUUGAAUGUGCAUCGUGAUUGGGAUAGAUGAUUGCAAUUUUUCAUCUUCAACGAGGAAUGCCUAGUAAACGCAAGUCAUCAGCUUGCAUUGAUUACGUCCCUGCCCUUUGUACACACCGCCCGUCGCUCCUACCGAUUGAAUGAUCCGAUGAAUAUCAUGGAUUGAGGAUGCAAGCAGGUUCGCCUGUCUUCAUCUUCGAGAAGUGAAGUAAAUCUUAUCAUUUAGAGGAAGGAGAAGUCGUAACA